rnacentral:lncRNA from 1 species
AAAAUACUCACGCGACAAGUCAACAACGAUGAAAUUUGGUGAAAUCAAAAGCAAACAUCACAGAUGAAAAGAGCUUAGGUUAUCAGAUGCAAAGCUAAAAUGGCAAUAACAAAUUCACAUGAAGGCAAGCAACAAAGAAACCUUAUCCCAACAUUCCCAAUACCCUCUCUAUGUUUAUAAAAACAAAGCAAAAAUAACGUACAAGAAGCAAUUAGUGUAGAAAAAUACCCACACGGAAA